CCUACGGGUGGCUGCAGUGAGGAAUAUUGGUCAAUGGGCGUAAGCCUGAACCAGCCAAGUCGCGUGAGGGAUGAAGGUUCUAUGGAUCGUAAACCUCUUUUGUAAGGGAAUAAAGUCCGGGACGUGUCCCGUUUUGUGUGUACCUUAUGAAUAAGGAUCGGCUAACUCCGUGCCAGCAGCCGCGGUAAUACGGAGGAUCCGAGCGUUAUCCGGAUUUAUUGGGUUUAAAGGGUGCGUAGGCGGCCUUGUAAGUCAGCGGUGAAAGGCCGGGGCUCAACCACAGAAGUGCCGUUGAAACUGGGAGGCUGGAGUAGGUUAGAGGCAGGCGGAAUGCGUGGUGUAGCGGUGAAAUGCAUAGAUAUCACGCAGAACCCCGAGUGCGAAGGCAGCCUGCCAAGCCAUGACUGACGCUGAGGCACGAAAGCGUGGGGAUCAAACAGGAUUAGAUACCCGUGUAGUC
rnacentral:rRNA from 1 species